rnacentral:rRNA from 1 species
GACGGUACCUUGAUAAGAAGCACCGGCUAACUACGUGCCAGCAGCCGCGGUAAUACGUAGGGUGCGAGCGUUAAUCGGAAUUACUGGGCGUAAAGCGUGCGCAGGCGGUUUUGUAAGUCGGAUGUGAAAUCCCCGGGCUCAACCUGGGAACUGCGUUCGAAACUGCAAGGCUAGAGUGUGUCAGAGGGGGGUAGAAUUCCACGUGUAGCAGUGAAAUGCGUAGAGAUGUGGAGGAAUACCAAUGGCGAAGGCAGCCCCCUGGGAUAACACUGACGCUCAUGCACGAAAGCGUGGGGAGCAAACAGGAUUAGAUACCCUGGUAGUCCACGCCCUAAACGAUGUCAACUAGUUGUUGGUAGAGUAAAAUCUAUGAGUAACGUAGCUAACGCGUGAAGUUGACCGCCUGGGGAGUACGGUCGCAAGAUUAAAACUC